rnacentral:rRNA from 1 species
GUAGGGAAUAUUGCGCAAUGGACGAAAGUCUGACGCAGCCACGCCGCGUGAGUGAGGAAGGCCUUCGGGUUGUAAAGCUCUGUCAUUCGGGAAAAACAGCCAUCCGGGGAAAGUUCGGGUGGUUUGAUGGUACCGAAGGAGGAAGCACCGGCAAACUCUGUGCCAGCAGCCGCGGUAAUACAGAGGGUGCAAGCGUUGUUCGGAAUUACUGGGCGUAAAGCGUGCGUAGUCGGUAUUGAGAGUCACGGGUGAAAUCCCCACGCUUAACGUGGGAACUGCCUGUGAGACCUCAGUACUAGAGUGUGAGAGGGGAUAGUGGAAUACCAAGUGUAGCGGUGAAAUGCGUAGAGAUUUGGUAGAACACCGGUGGCGAAGGCGGCUAUCUGGCUCACAACUGACGAUCAGGCACGAAAGCGUGGGGAGCAAACAGG